AAAUGCACUCGGAACUCCUCGCGUGACUCGUACCUCGCAUGACGGAGUGUAGGGGAAUUAGCCGAGGAUUGCCGAUUGCCGCAAAUCCAGACGCUUGUCAUUAUCAGACGAACGCGAACGAGUCGAUGCGUCUUGGUGAUCAAGACUAAAGGCAAUGGCAACGCACCAACCAAUGGUUUCUUAUACCAUUCGGCAAACUUCGGCAGAUUCCGGUACCCUAGAUCAAUUUUAAUGGAAUCGACCGAUGUGCUCCGGGUGCCUACACAACAAUUUUCAACAUGGGAAGUUGGUACAGAUUUAACCGCCAGUUUUCAAGAAAUUAAAGUUUGAUGUCUAAAAUAAAACCCUUUUCAAGAAAUAAUUAAAAUUAUAUCACAACUAAAAA